rnacentral:rRNA from 1 species
UACGUAGGGUGCAAGCGUUGUCCGGAAUUAUUGGGCGUAAAGAGCUCGUAGGCGGUUUGUCAAGUCUGCUGUGAAAACUCGGGGCUUAACUCCGGGCCUGCAGUGGGUACGGGCAGACUAGAGUGCGGUAGGGGAGACUGGAAUUCCUGGUGUAGCGGUGAAAUGCGCAGAUAUCAGGAGGAACACCAAUGGCGAAGGCAGCUCACUGGGACGGUACUGACGCUGAGACGCGAAAGCGUGGGGAGCAAACAGG